rnacentral:rRNA from 1 species
UGCGCAGGCGGUUGUGCAAGACCGAUGUGAAAUCCCCGAGCUUAACUUGGGAAUUGCAUUGGUGACUGCACGGCUAGAGUGUGUCAGAGGGGGGUAGAAUUCCACGUGUAGCAGUGAAAUGCGUAGAGAUGUGGAGGAAUACCGAUGGCGAAGGCAGCCCCCUGGGAUAACACUGACGCUCAUGCACGAAAGCGUGGGGAGCAAACA